UACGUAGGGGGCGAGCGUUGUCCGGAUUUAUUGGGCGUAAAGAGCGUGUAGGCGGCCAGGUAGGUCAGCUGUGAAAACUCGAGGCUCAACCUCGAGAUGUCGGCUGAAACCAUCUGGCUAGAGUCCGGAAGAGGAGAAUGGAAUUCCCGGUGUAGCGGUGAAAUGCGCAGAUAUCGGGAAGAACACCCGUGGCGAAGGCGGAGACCUGGGCCGAUACUGACGCUGAGGUGCGAAAGCGUGGGGAGCAAACAGG
rnacentral:rRNA from 1 species